UCUCUCUUCCCCACCCGCAGCCUCUCUCCGUCGCUCUCUCUCUCUCUCUGUCUCUGUGCGCGGGUGCGUUCGUCUGCUGCCUCCUUUUUUGGCCGACCCCUUUUUCGAUCUGCCAGGCAUGCAACCGAAGGGGAAGUACCCAAAGCUCCCUCCCUUCAUUCCUGCUUGUCUGCCUGCAUGCUUUUCUCUCUUUUUUCAAAAACAACCGACAGAAGAAAGCAAC
rnacentral:ribozyme from 1 species